CCUACGGGGGGCAGCAGUGGGGAAUAUUGCACAAUGGGGGAAACCCUGAUGCAGCGACGCCGCGUGAGUGAAGAAGUAAUUCUUUAUGUAAAGCUCUAUCAGCAGGGAAGAAAAUGACGGUACGUGAGUAAGAAUCCCCGGCUAACUACGUUCCAGCAGCCGCGGUAACACGGAGGGGGCAAGCGUAAUCCGGAUUUACUGGGCGUAAAGGGAGCGUAGACGGCAGUGCAAGUCCGGGGUGAAAGGCGGGGGCUCAACCCCCGAAGUGCUCUGGAAACUGUAAGGUUGGAGUGCAGGAGAGGUAAGUGGAAUUCCUAGUGUAGCGGUGAAAUGCGUAGAUAUUAGGAAGAACACCAGUGGCGAAGGCGGCUUACUGGACUGUAACUGACGUUGAGGCUCGAAAGCGUGGGGAGCAAACAGGAUUAGAUACCCCGGUAGUC
rnacentral:rRNA from 1 species